rnacentral:rRNA from 1 species
GACGAACGCUGGCGGCGUGCUUAACACAUGCAAGUCGAACGGAAAGGCCCAGCUUGCUGGGUACUCGAGUGGCGAACGGGUGAGUAACACGUGGGUGAUCUGCCCUGCACUCUGGGAUAAGCCUGGGAAACUGGGUCUAAUACCGGAUAUGACCGACUGUCGCAUGGUGGUUGGUGGAAAGCUUUUGCGGUGUGGGAUGGGCCCGCGGCCUAUCAGCUUGUUGGUGGGGUAAUGGCCUACCAAGGCGACGACGGGUAGCCGACCUGAGAGGGUGAUCGGCCACACUGGGACUGAGACACGGCCCAGACUCGUACGGGAGGCAGCAGUGGGGAAUAUUGCACAAUGGGCGCAAGCCUGAUGCAGCGACGCCGCGUGAGGGAUGACGGCCUUCGGGUUGUAAACCUCUUUCACCAGGGACGAAGCGUGAGUGACGGUACCUGGAGAAGAAGCACCGGCCAACUACGU